rfam:Apaloderma vittatum contig44249, whole genome shotgun sequence.
GGCCGGUUAGCUCAGUCAGUUGAGCGUGGCGCUACCAAUGCUAAGGUCAUGGGUUAGAUUCCCGUUCGGUCC